rnacentral:tRNA from 1 species
GAGGGCUUAGCUUAAUUAAAGUGUUUGAUUUGCAAUCAAUUGAUGUGAGACGGGCUCUCGCAGUCCUUA